AGAGUUUGAUCCUGGCUCAGAUUGAACGCUGGCGGCAGGCCUAACACAUGCAAGUCGAGCGGAUGACGGGAGCUUGCUCCUUGAUUCAGCGGCGGACGGGUGAGUAAUGCCUAGGAAUCUGCCUGGUAGUGGGGGACAACGUUUCGAAAGGAACGCUAAUACCGCAUACGUCCUACGGGAGAAAGCAGGGGACCUUCGGGCCUUGCGCUAUCAGAUGAGCCUAGGUCGGAUUAGCUUGUUGGUGAGGUAAUGGCUCACCAAGGCGACGAUCCGUGACUGGUCUGAGAGGAUGAUCAGUCACACUGGAACUGAGACACGGUCCAGACUCCUACGGGAGGCAGCAGUGGGGAAUAUUGGACAAUGGGCGAAAGCCUGAUCCAGCCAUGCCGCGUGUGAAGAAGGUCUUCGGAUUGUAAAGCACUUUAAGUUGGGAGGAAGGGCAGUAAGUUAAUACCUUGCUGUUUUGACGUUACCGACAGAAUAAGCACCGGCUAACUCUGUGCCAGCAGCCGCGGUAAUACAGAGGGUGCAAGCGUUAAUCGGAAUUACUGGGCGUAAAGCGCGCGUAGGUGGUUUGUUAAGUUGGAUGUGAAAGCCCCGGGCUCAACCUGGGAACUGCAUCCAAAACUGGCAAGCUAGAGUACGGUAGAGGGUGGUGGAAUUUCCUGUGUAGCGGUGAAAUGCGUAGAUAUAGGAAGGAACACCAGUGGCGAAGGCGACCACCUGGACUGAUACUGACACUGAGGUGCGAAAGCGUGGGGAGCAGACAGGAUUAGAUACCCUGGUAGUCCACGCCGUAAACGAUGUCAACUAGCCGUUGGAAUCCUUGAGAUUUUAGUGGCGCAGCUAACGCAUUAAGUUGACCGCCUGGGGAGUACGGCCGCAAGGUUAAAACUCAAAUGAAUUGACGGGGGCCCGCACAAGCGGUGGAGCAUGUGGUUUAAUUCGAAGCAACGCGAAGAACCUUACCAGGCCUUGUCAUGCAGAGAACUUUCCAGAGAUGGAUUGGUGCCUUCGGGAACUCUGACACGGGUGCUGCAUGGCUGUCGUCAGCUCGUGUCGUGAGAUGUUGGGUUAAGUCCCGUAACGAGCGCAACCCUUGUCCUUAGUUACCAGCACAUUAUGGUGGGCACUCUAAGGAGACUGCCGGUGACAAACCGGAGGAAGGUGGGGAUGACGUCAAGUCAUCAUGGCCCUUACGGCCUGGGCUACACACGUGCUACAAUGGUCGGUACAGAGGGUUGCCAAGCCGCGAGGUGGAGCUAAUCUCACAAAACCGAUCGUAGUCCGGAUCGCAGUCUGCAACUCGACUGCGUGAAGUCGGAAUCGCUAGUAAUCGCGAAUCAGAAUGUCGCGGUGAAUACGUUCCCGGGCCUUGUACACACCGCCCGUCACACCAUGGGAGUGGGUUGCACCAGAAGUAGCUAGUCUAACCUUCGGGAGGACGGUUACCACGGUGUGAUUCAUGACUGGGGUGAAGUCGUAACAAGGUAACC
rnacentral:rRNA from 1 species